ensembl:lincRNA
GGGGCUCGUAUAGGCAGGGAGCACAGGCGUAAGGCUGAGAUCGGCUUCCCUAGAGCCCUUCAAACUGGAUGGACCUACACUUGUUGCUUAAAUGUCUUGAGGCCUGUGUUUCCACAUCUGGGAAAUGGGGAAAUUGUGGUGUUUGCUGUGAAGCUUCCUCAUUGGCUGAUGAACUCAUCUGGUGUUCCUAAGACCAACACCUUCAGUCCCAUUUCACAAAGUCCAAAUCACAAAGGAGGAAACUAUUUAUUUGAUGAAUGCUGUAUUGAAGGAUAAGCCUGUAAUCAAAUGCUCCAUACCAUCUGUUUGAGAGAGUUUUUUGAGACUGGGAUCACUGUCUGGAACCACUGGCCGCCCUCUGAAGGCUGGAGAGGUGGUGACAGCUGAACAAAUGAUGGAGCUACGAGUCCAUGGGUUAGGUUACCUGGGCAUGGGAAUCCCCAUAUAGCCAAUGCCUUCCCGGGUAUUAAGUGUCAGAUAAACACAGCUCCUCAACUGCUACCCUGUGAAUGUGUGUCAUCGCCUGCUGGAAGCCGAUGCCAUGUGCUGUUUACUUGGUGUGGAGGACAGAAACUAUAUCUUUCUGGAGUAUUUCAGAUUCCAAGGUCUAAUCCUGGACAGCAGGGUCACUGCAAUAUCUGGAUCUCAUUAAGAGUCUUGAUAGGGACAUGACCUCCUAAGACUCACCUUGUGCAGCCAAAUGCUGCCGGAACCAGUGAGGCUUGGGUUGCAGGCGCGCAGAUUGCCUUUCCAUGGUCACAGAAAGGUCUUAGGGUCUGAUCUUUUGUCUCAUGGUCUACUUUGUGUGUGGGGAAAGCCAUUCUUUAAGCUAAAGCCUGUAGAAAGGGGAGAGGGUCCAGAGACAUCAAGCUAUCAGCCCCAUCUUGAAAGGUCUUAUGGGAACAGGAGAUAAAUCUAGGGUUUCAUUUCUGAUUCAGCUUUCUUUACCUAUUAAAACUCAGAGAGAAAGCAGGGUGUAGCUAAGUGACAGAAUACUUGCCUGGCAUGUGCAAAGGCCCUGGAUUCAAGUCCUAGUACCACAAAGUAAUAGCACCAGUGAAAUCAAAGGCAAGUAGACAAAAGUCCUGACUGCUGACCAGAGUUCAUCUUUCUGGUCUUUAACUUGGUUUUCUCACUGCUGGGACAAGGAAGUUGCUUGUUUUGGCCUAUUGUUUUGUUGUGUCUUUUUCUUAGGAGGAAGUUACCUUAUUUCCUGGCCCUGACCACUAGCUGGAGUCAACAUUUGGAUGCUGCUCCAUGCAGAUGACCCCUGCCAAGCAGAUCAAGUCUUCAUCAUGUGGUUAACAGUGGCAACCAUGAGUCGGACAUGAUCUCAUGUUCAGGGGAUGUAGGGAGAGACAGGAGCUGGACUCUGAAACUAGAAUACUGAGUUCGAAUCCCAACUUUGUUGUUUCUUGGCUAUAUGACCAUCAACAAGUUCCUUAGCUUCUCUGUGGCUCAAUUUCCUGGUUUUUAAAAGGAGUUAAAUGUAUUGCUUAAAAAGUAGAUGACUUCAGAAGGCAUCAGUGGCAUAAAACAGUUAUGUGACAUAUUGUGAGGUAUUCUCUCUCUCUGUUUCUCUCUCUGUGUAUCUGUCUGUCUAUUUUUUUUUUUUUUUGAGACAGGCUUUUUCUGUCUAGUGUUGGUUGUCCUGGAACUCCUCUAGACUAGGCUGACCUUGAACUCACAGAGAUCUGCCUGCUUCUACCUAAUGAGUGCUGGGAUUGAGGGCAUUUACCAUCACCACACAGCUCUGUUUCUUACUUUACGUGCAUGAUGAACUCAACAGCCAUUAAAAAAAAAAGUGUUGUAAUCCAGGAGGUAGCGUCGAACACCUUUAAUCCCAGUACUGGAGGCAGAGGCAAGUAGAUCUCUGAGUUAGAGGACACAGAGAAAUCCUGCCUCAAAAACAAACAAACAAGCAAGCAAACUAACAAACAAAAAAGUGUUGAAGUGUUGUACAUAUGAAAAUGUCACAAUGUAACCCAUUACUGUGUGUCUUAUUUAGGGUUUUACUGCUGUGAACAGACACCAUGACCAAGGCAAGUCUUACGAAAGACAACAUUUAAUUGGGGCUGCCUUACAGGUUCAGAGGUUCAGUUUAUUAUCAUUAAGGCAGGGACAUGACAGAAUCCAGGCAGGCAUGGUGCAGGAGAAGCUAAGAUUUCUACAUCUUGGAAGCCAGGCAGCUAGGAUGAGGGUUUUAAGCCCACGCCCACAGGGACACACCUACUCCAACAAGGCCACACCUCUUAAUAGUGCCACUCCCUGGACCAAGCAUAUAUAAACUAUCACAUUAUGUGUAAUUAAUUUAUGCUAAUGAAAUAUGCCCACCAUAUGGAGCUCUUUGGUUUAAUUUCAAUGUGUAUGUUUGGGGGAGGUCACAAAACUAGCAAGGAGACUAUGAGAAAGGAAGAAGAGAUCUAAAGAAUGGGGAGGGGCAAUAGGGAUGUGAAAUACAUGGAUUGAAAGUGAACGGGGCCUAUGAAGGGGAAGACAUUGGUCCAACAAGAGAGGUGGGGGGCACAGGAAGAGGAUGGGAGAGUGGAACCAAUAAGAGCAGGGCUUAUGUGAAAAUGCUCUGAUGAAGUCAUUGCUGUAUGAGCUAACCUAACAAACGCAGAACAAGAUAAAUGAAAGUGGGAAAGGCCCCAUGUUUAGAUCAAGCCAAGUGAAUGAAAAAAAUUGGCACAACUUAGUUUAGGAUUAAUGUUGCCGCAUAUUAAAUACUGAUGUCCCG